GAUGAACGCUGGCGGCGUGCCUAAUACAUGCAAGUCGAGCGAAGCGGGGACGGGUGAGUAUCAUGUGUAUAAACCCCCAUAAGACUGGGAUAACUUCGGGAAACCGGUGCCAAAACCGCUUCUUAUAGAUGGUUCCGCGCUGCAUUAGCUAGUUGGUAUGGUAACGGCUUACCAAGGCAACGAUGCAUAGCGGACCUGAGAGGGUGAUCGGCCACACUGGAACUGAGACACGGUCCAGACUCCUACGGGAGGCAGCAGUAGGGAAUCUUCCGCAAUGGGCGAAAGCCUGACGGAGCAACGCCGCGUGAGUGAUGAAGGUCUUCGGAGCGUAAAACUCUGUUAGUGAGGAGGCGGUACCUAAUCAGAAAGCCACGGCUAACUACGUGCCAGCAGCCGCGGUAAUUC
rnacentral:rRNA from 1 species